rnacentral:rRNA from 1 species
UACGAAGGGGGCUAGCGUUGCUCGGAAUCACUGGGCGUAAAGCGCACGUAGGCGGAUUGCUAAGUCAGGGGUGAAAUCCUGGAGCUCAACUCCAGAACUGCCUUUGAUACUGGCGAUCUUGAGUCCGGGAGAGGUGAGUGGAACUGCGAGUGUAGAGGUGAAAUUCGUAGAUAUUCGCAAGAACACCAGUGGCGAAGGCGGCUGACUGGUCCGGUUCUGACGCUGAGGCGCGAAAAGCGUGGGGAGCAAACAGG